rnacentral:lncRNA from 1 species
GGACAACAGCGUUAGGGGGAGGUUUGCAAGAAUAGUAGUGUUCAUCAAUUUGGAUAGGGCUUUGAUCACUCAAGUCUUGGUAAAAAGAGUUAUUCAGUGGAUUGAAUAUGAAUACUUACUGAUCGUUUGUUUAUUGUGCGACUACUAUGGGCAUAUGAAGGAGAUCUGCCCUAAGGAAGCAACGGGGCCGGAGGAAUUUGGCAUAGGCAUUACAGGGAAUAGGAGAGAACAGAGGCAAAUUUCAAAGGAAAAUAAAGAAGUCGCAGCGCCAAAUCUAUGCACCUAUAGGCCGUGGAUGCUUGCCGAGAGGUGGGGCAGACGCACUUUGAGAAUGGAAAGGAAGGACAGUGGUGAGACUUAGGCACAAUUGGCGGACAACUCUAGGUUCCAGGUUUUGGAAAACCUAGUUGGGGAAGAAGAUUCGCAGGUUCAUGUGGUUGGGUCAAAAGUGGACCUAGGCCAAAGAGUUUUAGGCCCUUUAGUGUUGAGCCCAAUAGGAGAAGAAGGCCCUUCGCACAUAAGUCAAAGCUAGCGGCAAAAUGCUGGGUCAAGCUUGGCUACCCAAGCAUCGGGCAAUCUUUGGAUCGCCAGUAAGUUUACGCUAAAGAUCGACGAAGCCAAACUAAGACAAGGACAUUUGGCUCUAGAAAAAGGCAGGUCAGUGGAUGUCACCUGCCAUAAUAGCCAACCAAGGAUAGGGGAUUUGUAGGAAAUCUAAGCGAUUCUGACGGUAGGUGUUCUUGACGCUGCAAAACAUUUGGUGGUCAUUUUUAAAGAGAACAUCCAACAUAGAACUGGGGGACCAUACAAAGAAGCAGAACCAUUACAAUAGGACAUCUAAUAGAAUUUUCUUCGGCGCAAGGUAGUGUGAAGGCCAAUGGUAGCCGAAAAGGUAAGAAGCUCAAGAAAGUCAUUAAGGAAAAAGGUAGCCCUUUUAAGGCUUCUCCCUGAAAACUCCCACUUGUUGAAUCAAUUAGCAACAUGGUCAAGUUACUACAAAGCCAGUUCCAGCGGGGGUUGGUGAACGAAGUUCCCAAAGUGAUGGAUGAAAAGUCAGGAGAGCAGGUAAGAGCUGGUCAGUAAUUGUAAGGACAUUUAUUCAUUUACUGUGCUUUUUAAUAAUGAACUCUUCACUUUCAAUAUUUUCUUAGAAUUUUCAAUAAUGCGUGAGUGAGAAGUUUCCUUGCAUUUUUAGAGAAUAUAAUAUGGAGCAUAAGCCAUAUAUUAUUAGCUUGUUAAAACCAAAAGUCAGUGGCCACAAAGCUGAUGAGAUAAAUGCAAAAUUAAGGCUGCACUACUCCUAUCAGGUAGAAGCUUGGGGGUUCUUAGGGGGGAUCUGGAUUGGUUGGAAAAACUUAGUUAGUCUUGAAAUUAUCCGAAACCACCCUCAAUUCAUCCUAGCAUGAGUUUCUUUCAGAAUUCCCAUACAAACAGUCCUAAUUGUUUUCGUGUAUGGAAGGCCAAAUAGAACAAAGAGAAUAUUGCUAUGGGAAGCAUUAAAAGAGACUAUACCUACCACCAUUGUCCCUUAGAAUGAUAAAAAAAGAAUGAGUACUAUUAGAAGACGACGUCCUUACUUUGGGGAGCUUGUUGAAGCAAACAACCUACAUGAUUUGGGAUUUUGGAGGCCAUCCUUCACAUGGCAAAGAGAAGGGGUAUUUGAAAGGCUAGACCGAGAAUUUAGUAAUGCUUCUUGGAUUCAAAAUUUCC